GUUUAAUUAGUUUAAUAAAAAUAUUGACUUGUGGUGUCAAAGAUGUAAGUAUUUAUUUUAAACU
rnacentral:tRNA from 1 species